AUCCUCUUGUCAUUCACAGGUGUGAUGAUUAGGUAUUCAUGCUGUUGCGUGACAUGUUCCUCCCUCAAACCUUAUUAUGAACUCAGUACACCCCCCCAUCUGUGG